UAGGGAAUCUUCGGCAAUGGACGGAAGUCUGCCCGAGCAACGACGCGUGAGUGAAGAAGUUAUUCGGUUCGUAUAGCUCUGUUGUUCGAGAAGAACGUUGGUAGGAGUGGAAAAUCUACCAAGUGACGGUAACUAACCAGAAAGGGACGGCUAACUACGUGCCAGCAGCCGCGGUAAUACGUAGGUCCCGAGCGUUGUCCGGAUUUAUUGGGCGUAAAGCGAGCGCAGGCGGUUCUUUAAGUCUGAAGUUAAAGGCAGUGGCUUAACCAUUGUACGCUUUGGAAACUGGAGGACUUGAGUGCAGAAUGGGAGAGUGGAAUUCCAUGUGUAGCGGUGAAAUGCGUAGAUAUAUUGAGGAAGACCGGUGGCGAAAGCGGCUCUCUGGUCUGUAACUGACGCUGAGGCUCGAAAGCGUGGGGAGCAAACGGG
rnacentral:rRNA from 1 species